rnacentral:rRNA from 1 species
UACAGAGGGGGCAAGCGUUGUUCGGAAUUACUGGGCGUAAAGGGCGCGUAGGCGGCCUGUUAAGUCGAACGUGAAAUCCCCGGGCUCAACCCGGGAACUGCGUCCGAUACUGGCAGGCUUGAAUUCGGGAGAGGGAUGCGGAAUUCCAGGUGUAGCGGUGAAAUGCGUAGAUAUCUGGAGGAACACCGGUGGCGAAGGCGGCAUCCUGGACCGAGAUUGACGCUGAGGCGCGAAAGCCAGGGGAGCAAACGGGG